UUAAUUUAUUUGCUUGUUUACUCAGAAGAUACUAAAGAAAUACAAGAGUUUUGGUCCCCCGGCGGGCGCCUGAUCCGGGCCCGAAGGCGCCGGGGCGGAUCCGCCGAAGCAACGAUAGGUAUGUUCACAGGGGUUUGGGAGUUGUAAACUCGGUAAUGAUCCCUCCGCUGGUUCACCAACGGAGA
rnacentral:misc_RNA from 1 species